rnacentral:rRNA from 1 species
GACGAACGCUGGCGGCGUGCUUAACACAUGCAAGUCGAACGGCGACGCUCCAACUUGCUGGUGUUGCUCAGUGCCGAACGCGUGCGUAACACGUAUGCAACCUGCCCCUGACUCUGGUAUAGGCUCUCGAAACGGCAUCUACUCCUGUAUCCGAUACGGCUCCCCAUUGGCACUUUCUGGAAUUUUUUUCGGUUGGGGAUGGGCUCGCGGCCUAUCAGCUUGUUGGUUAGGUAAUGGCUGACCCAGGCGACGACGGGUAGCCGGCCUGAGAGGGGGACCGGCGACAAUAGGACUGAGAGAGGGCCCAGAGUGCUACGGGAGGCAGCAGGGGGGAAUAUUGCACAAUGGGAGAAAGUCUGAUGAAGCGACGCCGCGUGAGGGAUGACGGCCUUCGGGUAGAAAACCGCUUUCAGCAGAGAAGAAGCGAAAGUGACGGUACCUGAAGAAGAAGCACCGGCUAACUACGUG